AUUGAACGCUGGCGGCAGGCUUAACACAUGCAAGUCGAGCGGGGGAAGGUAGCUUGCUACCGGACCUAGCGGCGGACGGGUGAGUAAUGCUUAGGAAUCUGCCUAUUAGUGGGGGACAACAUCUCGAAAGGGAUGCUAGUGCCGCAUACGUACUACGGGAUAAAGCAGGGGAUCUUCGGACCUUGCGCUAAUAGAUGAGCGUAAGUCGGAUUAGCUAGUUGGUGGGGUAAAGGCCUACCAAGGCGACGAUCUGUAGCGGGUCUGAGAGGAUGAUCCGCCACACUGGGACUGAGACACGGCCCAGACUCCUACGGGAGGCAGCAGUGGGGAAUAUUGGACAAUGGGGGGAACCCUGAUCCAGCCAUGCCGCGUGUGCGAAGAAGGCCUUAUGGUUGUAAAGCACUUUAAGCGAGGAGGAGGCUACUUUAGUUAACACCUGGAGAUAGUGGACGUUACUCGCAGAAUAAGCACCGGCUAACUCUGUGCCAGCCGCCGCGGUAA
rnacentral:rRNA from 1 species